rnacentral:rRNA from 2 species
CUGGUGUCAGCCGCCGCGGUAAUACCAGCACCCCGAGUGGUCGGGACGAUUAUUGGGCCUAAAGCAUCCGUAGCCGGCCUUACAAGUCCUCCGUUAAAUCCAGCUGCUUAACAGAUGGGCUGCGGAGGAUACUAUAAGACUAGGAGGCAGGAGAGGCAAGCGGUACUCAGUGGGUAGGGGUAAAAUCCGUUGAUCCAUUGAAGACCACCAGUGGCGAAGGCGGCUUGCCAGAAUGCGCUCGACGGUGAGGGAUGAAAGCUGGGGGGGCAAACCGGAUUAGAUACCCGGGUAGUCCCAGCUGUAAACGAUGCAGACUCGGUGAUGGACUAGCUUUAUGCUGGUCCAGUGCCGCAGGGAAGCCGUUAAGUCUGCCGCCUGGGUAGUACGGUCGCAAGACUGAAACUUAAAG